GACGAACGCUGGCGGCGUGCUUAACACAUGCAAGUCGAACGCUGAAGCUCAGCUUUUGUUGGGUGGAUGAGUGGCGAACGGGUGAGUAACACGUGAGUAACCUGCCCCCUUCUUUGGGAUAACGCCCGGAAACGGGUGCUAAUACUGGAUAUUCACUGGUCUUCGCAUGGGGGUUGGUGGAAAGGGUUUUUCUGGUGGGGGAUGGGCUCGCGGCCGAUCAGCUUGUUGGUGGGGUGAUGGCCUACCAAGGCUUUGACGGGUAGCCGGCCUGAGAGGGUGACCGGUCACAUUGGGACUGAGAUACGGCCCAGACUCCUACGGGAGGCAGCAGUGGGGAAUAUUGCACAAUGGGCGAAAGACUGAUGCAGCGACGCCGCGUGAGGGAUGGAGGCCUUCGGGUUGUGAACCUCUUUCGCUCAUGGUCAAGCCGCAACAAUGGUUGUGGUGAGGGUAGUGGGUAAAGAAGCGCCGGCUAACUACGUG
rnacentral:rRNA from 1 species